CUGAAUAACUCAGCUGAUCGCAUGGUCUCGUACCGGCGACGUAUCUUCCAAGUGUCUGCCUUAUCAACUUUUGAUGGUAGUUUAUGCGACUACCAUGGUUGUAACGGGUAACGGAGAAUAAGGGUUCGACUCCGGAGAGGGAGCCUGAGAAACGGCUACCACAUCCAAGGAAGGCAGCAGGCGCGCAAAUUACCCAAUCUCAGAACGAGGAGGUAGUGACGAAAAAUAACGAGACGGUUCUCUAUGAGGCCCGUUAUCGGAAUGAGUACAAUUCAAACCUUUUAACGAGGAUCUACGAGAGGGCAAGUCUGGUGCCAGCAGCCCGCGGUAAUUCCCAGCUCUCGAAGUGUAUAUCAUUGUUGUUUGCGGUUAAAAAA
rnacentral:rRNA from 1 species